GAUGAACGCUAGCGGCAGGCCUAAUACAUGCAAGUCGAACGGUAAGUCGAGUGCUUGCACUUGACACGAGUGGCGCACGGGUGCGUAACGCGUAUGCAACCUACCCUUUACAGGGGGAUAGCCCGGAGAAAUCCGGAUUAAUACCCCAUAGUAUUACGAAUUCGCAUGAAUUUGUACUUAAAGAUUUAUCGGUAAAGGAUGGGCAUGCGUGACAUUAGCUAGUUGGUGAGGUAACGGCUCACCAAGGCAAUGAUGUCUAGGGGUUCUGAGAGGAUGAUCCCCCACACUGGUACUGAGAUACGGACCAGACUCCUACGGGGAGGCAGCAGUAGGGAAUAUUGGUCAAUGGCGAGAGCCUGAACCAGCCAUGCCGCGUGCAGGAAGACGGCCUUCUGGGUUGUAAACUGCUUUUAUCAGGGAACAAAAAGGCCAUGCGUGGCAAAUGCGUGUACCUGAAGAAUAAGCACCGGCUAACAUCCGUGCCAGCAGCCGCGUAAUACGGAGGGU
rnacentral:rRNA from 1 species